rnacentral:tRNA from 1 species
GUAGUUAUGUCAGAAUUUAUAUGAGUUAGUUUUAAGCAUUAAUUAUGGAUUUAUAUCCUAACUACU